rnacentral:rRNA from 1 species
AAUCAACGCUGGCGGCGCGCUUAACACAUGCAAGUCGCACGAGAAAGGGAGCAAUCCUAAGUAAAGUGGCGCACGGGUGAGUAACACGUGGAUCAUCUACCUUUUAGUGGGGAAUACCUCUGGGAAACCGGAGACAAUACCGCAUAAGCCCGCAAGGGGAAAGCAGCAAUGCGCUGAAAGAGGAGUCCGCGGCCGAUUAGCUAGUUGGCGGGGUAAUGGCCCACCAAGGCGAAGAUCGGUAGCCGGCCUGAGAGGGCACACGGCCACACU